GAAAGCCAAUCUCAGUUCGGAUUGUAGGCUGCAACUCGCCUACAUGAAGUUGGAAUCGCUAGUAAUCGCGAAUCAGAAUGUCGCGGUGAAUACGUUCCCGGGUCUUGUACACACCGCCCGUCACACCACGAGAGUUUACAACACCCGAAGUCAGUGGCCUAACCGCAAGGAGGGAGCUGCCUAAGGUGGGGUAGAUGAUUGGGGUGAAGUCGUAACAAGGUAGC
rnacentral:rRNA from 1 species